rnacentral:rRNA from 1 species
GUGAACGCUGGCGGUAGGCCUAACACAUGCAAGUCGAACGGCAGCACAGAGUAGCUUGCUCCUUGGGUGGCGAGUGGCGGACGGGUGAGGAAUACAUCGGAAUCUACCCUGUCGUGGGGGAUAACGUAGGGAAACUUACGCUAAUACCGCAUACGACCUUCGGGUGAAAGAGGGGGCUCGCAAGACCUCUCGCGAUUGGAUGAUCCGAUGUUGGAUUAGCUAGUUGGCGGGGUAAAAGCCCACCAAGGCGACGAUCCGUAGCUGGUCUGGGAGGAUGAUCAGCAAACCUGGAACUGAGACACGGUCCAGACGCCUACGGGAGGCAGCAGUGGGGAAUAUUGGACAAUGGGCGCAAGCCGGAUCCAGCCAUACCGCGUGGGUGAAGAAGGCCUUCGGGUUGUAAAGCCCUUUUGUUGGGAAAGAAAAGCGACCGGCUAAUACCCGGUUGUUCUGACGGUACCCAAAGAAUAAGCACCGGCUAACUUCGUGCCAGCAGCCGCGGUAAAAC